rnacentral:lncRNA from 1 species
GAUCUGAAAAUUCGUGGAAGUAUUUCAAAAGCGCCCUGUACAGAUUAUAUGUCAAAUCAUGGCUUCUCCACCUGUUUCCAUGUUGUCUGCUGUUGGAAGAACAUCUAUGAGGGACUGUGAAUAGAAUCUUUAUCUUCUGCUUAUAUACAACACUUACUCAUGGGCCAGUGGCACAAUUUCUAGCUGUACAAGGAUAUCAUGGUGUUUGAUAAA